UACAGAGGGGGCAAGCGUUGUUCGGAAUUACUGGGCGUAAAGGGCGCGUAGGCGGCCUUCUAAGUCGAACGUGAAAUCCCUGGGCUCAACCCAGGAACUGCGUCCGAUACUGGAUGGCUUGAAUUCGGGAGAGGGAUGCAGAAUUCCAGGUGUAGCGGUGAAAUGCGUAGAUAUCUGGAGGAAUACCGGUGGCGAAGGCGGCAUCCUGGACCGACAUUGACGCUGAUGAGCGAAAGCCAGGGGAGCAAACGGG
rnacentral:rRNA from 1 species